rnacentral:piRNA from 1 species
AAAGGACCAAAUGUAGAACAGAGAA